rnacentral:rRNA from 1 species
UACGGGGGGAGCAAGCGUUGUUCGGAUUUACUGGGCGUAAAGGGCGCGUAGGCGGCCAGCACAAGUCAGUUGUGAAAUCUCCGGGCUUAACUCGGAAAGGUCAACUGAUACUGUGCGGCUAGAGUGCAGAAGGGGCAACUGGAAUUCUCGGUGUAGCGGUGAAAUGCGUAGAUAUCGGGAGGAACACCAGUGGCGAAGGCGACUACCUGGCCUGUUUCUUGACGCUGAGGCGCGAAAGCUAGGGGAGCAAACGGG